AACGAACGCUGGCGGCAGGCCUAACACAUGCAAGUCGAGCGAGGACUUCGGUCCUAGCGGCGGACGGGUGAGUAACGCGUGGGAACGUGCCCUUUGCUUCGGAAUAGCCCUGGGAAACUGGGAGUAAUACCGGAUGAGCCCUUUGGGGGAAAGAUUUAUCGGCGAAGGAUCGGCCCGCGUUGGAUUAGGUAGUUGGUGGGGUAAUGGCCUACCAAGGCGACGAUCCAUAGCUGGUUUGAGAGGAUGAUCAGUCACACUGGGACUGAGACACGGCCCAGAAUCCUACGGGAGGCAGCAGAAGAGAAUAUUAGACAAUGGGGCAAACCCUGAUCUAGCCAUGCCGCGUGAGAGAUGAAGGCCUUAGGGUUGUAAAGCUCUUUCAGCUGGGAAGAUAAUGACGGUACCAGCAGAAGAAGCCCCGGCUAACUCCGUG
rnacentral:rRNA from 1 species